rnacentral:rRNA from 1 species
UUCCGGGAAGACUUAGUGGCGGACGGGUGAGUAAUGCAUGAGCAACCUGCCUUCAGGAGGGGGAUAACAUCGGGAAACCGGUGCUAAUACCGCAUAGAGCAUUUUGCAGGCAUCUGCGAGAUGGGAAAGGAGCAAUCCGCCUGGAGAUGGGCUCAUGUCUGAUUAGAUAGUUGGUAGGGUAACGGCCUACCAAGUCUGCGAUCAGUAGCCGGACUGAGAGGUCGAACGGCCACAUUGGGACUGAGACACGGCCCAAACUCC